AUGCAAAAGAGGAAAAGCCACCAAGCAAGACACAGUAUUCUCCUUCAGCUGAGAAAGGGGCCAACUUCUGUUUCCAGACGUAGGCUUUCAGAGGUCGUGGGUGAAGGCAAGCGCUCUGUCGGAUGUCGUGCUUUUGGGGACUUGGACUUCUCCCCGGCUGUUUCUGGCUGGCACCAGACUGAUCCAGUCACUUCACAAGUGUGGCGGUAACACAAGAUGUGCAUUUUAAGAGCCAUGUAAAAUGGUAAGAGCCACUAACUUACUUGCAUGAUAAAUGUUGCUGAUACCCUGAGCCUGCGCAUCAUGAACAGAAGCUGGUAUUUUUAGCAGACGGAGUGCGGAGCUUUCUACGGGAAGGGCAGCGUUAAGCAAGGUGAGCUGGUGCGUGUGUUUGCAUCUGCAGUCCUGUUCUAGAGCGUUUCUAGAGGUCGUUGGUAGGCAGUCUGCAGGCUGACGUUACAGGUGGUUUUAUUCCACAAAAUCGGUAUUUGGGUGACAGGGAAACUUCAGAACUGUGCCUCGUUUCAGAGACUAGCAGGGGCGGAAUAGCUGCAUAAAAUCUUCUAAUUAGAAGCAGCAGCUGAGCUGUUGGGACUUGUGAGCUGCCACUAAAAUGCUGAUUACUUUGACGUGCGAGAAUGUCUGGAAGAGCCUCUUGAUCAGAAAUUGCAAAGGUUUCUCCUGUUGGAAUCAGCUUAUUGGGAUAUAUUUGUGUCCAGAGUAGCUAAUCCAUAAGUUGCUGAGUUUCCAGCACUGGGGUAGAAAACCUGCUGUCUUCCUGCCAGAACGUGCAGGUGUUUGGGUCACCUGGGAGCACAGAAGGUGAUUUGGUAGAUGCUGCCAAACUACAAGAAUAAUUUUGGGAGAAAAAACACAGCCUCUGGUCACCAAAAAGCCUAUUACUUACCUGGUUUUGAUGAUUUUUACAUUUCUGCGUUGAUAUUCAUAACUUGCAGAUUGUUAACGGGUGUUUUGUUCAAGCCUGCCAAUUAGCAUGGGCAGCUCUUCUGAAGUGGUGAGCGUAAAUGAGAAAGAGACGGCCUUUCUAUAACUGAGAAGGAGAAAUACUUAAAGCUUCAAUCAGUACCUUGAUGUUACCGAGGUCUUUUCGCUUCCAGUGCUCUAACGUGAGUGAGCAGAUGAUAUCAAAACGGGUCAUGCUGCUUCCGGUAGACCAGAGUGGGAUGCACAU
rnacentral:lncRNA from 1 species